rnacentral:rRNA from 1 species
CGGUUGAUCCUGCCGGAGGCCACUGCUAUUGGGAUUCGAUUAAGCCAUGCGAGUCGAGAGGGUUCUGCCCUCGGCUGACGGCUCAGUAACACGUGGAUAAUCUGCCCUUGGGUGGAGGAUAACCUCGGGAAACUGAGAAUAAUACUCCAUAGGUCUAGGAGGCUGGAAUGCACCUAGGCUGAAAGCUCCGGCGCCCAAGGAUGAGUCCGCGGACUAUCAGGUAGUAGUCAGGGUAAAGACCUGACUAGCCUACGACGGAUAUGGGUUGUGAGAGCAAUAACCCAGAGAUGAUAUCUGAGACACGAUAUCAGGCCCUACGGGGCGCAGCAGGCGCGAAAACUUCACACUGUGCGAAAGCACGAUGAGGGAAUCCCAAGUGCCAGCUCGUAAGAGUUGGCUGUUUUUCUGUCUAAAACACAGAGAGAGUAAGAGCUGGGUAAGACGGGUGCCAGCCGCCGCGGUAAUACCUGCAGCUCAAGUGGUGGCCGCUAUUAUUGGGCCUAAAACGUCCGUAGCCGGUCUAGUAAAUGCCUGGGUAAAUCGUGUAGCUUAACUAUACGAAUUCCGGGUAGACUGCUAGACUUGAGACCGGGAGAGGCUAGAGGUACUCCUGGGGUAGAGGUGAAAUUCUGUAAUCCUAGGGGGACCACCAGUGGCGAAGGCGUCUAGCUAGAACGGGUCUGACGGUGAGGGACGAAGCCCUGGGGCGCAAACCGGAUUAGAUACCCGGGUAGUCCAGGGUGUAAACGCUGCUUGCUUGAUGUUAGUCGGGCUCCGAGCCCGAUUAGUGUCGGAGAGAAGUUGUUAAGCAAGCUGCCUGGGAAGUACGGUCGCAAGACUGAAACUUAAAGGAAUUGGCGGGGGAGCAC